rnacentral:lncRNA from 1 species
CUGAAAACUGGGUGGGCGCAGUGGCUCACGCCUGUAAUCCUACCACUUUGGGAGGCUGAGGUGGACAGAUCACUUGAGCCCAGGAGUUCGAGAUCAGCUUGGGCAACGUGAUGAAAUACGAUCUCUACAAAAAAUACAAAAAUUAGCCAAGCAUAGAGGUACACACCUGUAGUCCCAGAUACUCCACUGAGGUGGGAGGAUCACCUGAGCCUGGAGAGGUUGAGGGUUCAGUGAGGUGCGAUCGCACCAAUGCACUCCAGCCUGGGCGACAGAGUGAGAUACUGUCUCAAAAAACAUGAAAAUGAAAAAUAAAAAAUAAAAGCUGAAAAAUUUAUAUUUAAUAUUUUGAAAACUUAAAUCUUAUUGCAUAUUAUUAUUAAAUAACUUUUCCC